rnacentral:rRNA from 1 species
UACGUAGGGUGCGGGCGUUGUCCGGAAUUACUGGGCGUAAAGAGCUCGUAGGCGGCUUGUCGCGUUGUUCGUGAAAAUUUACCGCUCAACGGUGAACUUGCGGGCGAUACGGGCAGGCUAGAGUACUGCAGGGGAGACUGGAAUUCCUGGUGUAGCGGUGAAAUGCGCAGAUAUCAGGAGGAACACCGGUGGCGAAGGCGGGUCUCUGGGCAGUAACUGACGCUGAGGAGCGAAAGCGUGGGGAGCGAACAGG